rnacentral:tRNA from 1 species
GGGCCUGUAGCUCAAUGGCAGAGCACAUGCCUAGUAUGUGUGAGGCACUGGGUUCAAUUCUCAGCACCG